GAAGCUCCUGAUCGAAGCCCCAGUAAACGGCGGCCGUAACUAUAACGGUCCUAAGGUAGCGAAAUUCCUUGUCGGGUAAGUUCCGACCUGCACGAAUGGCAUAAUGAUGGCCAGGCUGUCUCCACCCGAGACUCAGUGAAAUUGAAAUCGCCGUGAAGAUGCGGUGUACCCGCGGCUAGACGGAAAGACCCCGUGAACCUUUACUAUAGCUUGACACUGAACCUUGAAUUUUGAUGUGUAGGAUAGGUGGGAGACUUAGAAGCAGGAACGCCAGUUCUUGUGGAGUCGUCCUUGAAAUACCACCCUUUAACGUUUGAUGUUCUAACGAAGAUUGCGGAACGCGGUCUCGGACAGUGUCUGGUGGGUAGUUUGACUGGGGCGGUCUCCUCCCAAAGAGUAACGGAGGAGCACGAAGGUUUGCUAAUGACGGUCGGACAUCGUCAGGUUAGUGCAAUGGUAAAAGCAAGCUUAACUGCGAGACAGACAAGUCGAGCAGGUACGAAAGUAGGUCAUAGUGAUCCGGUGGUUCUGAAUGGAAGGGCCAUCGCUCAACGGAUAAAAGGUACUCCGGGGAUAACAGGCUGAUACCGCCCAAGAGUUCAUAUCGACGGCGGUGUUUGGCACCUCGAUGUCGGCUCAUCACAUCCUGGGGCUGAAGUAGGUCCCAAGGGUAUGGCUGUUCGCCAUUUAAAGUGGUACGCGAGCUGGGUUUAGAACGUCGUGAGACAGUUCGGUCCCUAUCUGCCGUGGGCGUUGGAUGAUUGAGUGGGGCUGCUCCUAGUACGAGAGGACCGGAGUGGACGCAUCACUGGUGUACCAGUUGUUUCGCCAGAAGCAUUGCUGGGUAGCUAAAUGCGGAAGAGAUAAGUGCUGAAAGCAUCUAAGCACGAAACUUGCCAUAAGAUGAGUCAUCCCACUCUUUAAGAGUGUAAGGGUUGUUUAAGACGAAGACGUAGAUAGGCUGGGUGUGUAAGCGGUGCGAGCCGUUGAGCUAACCAGUACUAAUUGCCCGAGCGGCUUAACCAUACAACCUCA
rnacentral:rRNA from 1 species